rnacentral:piRNA from 1 species
CAGCCAACCCUUUCUCCAACGUAGCC